CUUAGAGCAUAAUGCACAUUUCUGUUUUUUAAAGAAUCCUCAGAUUUAAGAAAAAACAAAAAAAAUCUACCUUUAAGUCAGUUAAUCAUCACUAACACCACAUAGAGAGAAAUUAGGGAAAUAAUACAUCUGAUAAGCCAUGCAUAAGCAAUAAUUGACUAAUUUUAAAGUAUCCAAUAGUUUACCUAGAGAUUCUCUUUGUUCUCUCUUCCUCACACUCCUAGUCUCUUUUCUGAGCAUGCUCUGUUUUGAUGAGUACUCCCAUGCUCUCCCAUAUUCCCCAGGAUUGAACACAAAGGAGUCAGUUAUUGCCUGUUAUCCUCAAUGGAAUCCUCCUAAUUGCAGUUUAAAACUGACUACUAACGAAAGGCGAAAAUGAAUGCAGAACACGAGAGACAGACCAAAAAAAAACCUGGCAGGAUUCAUCUAAAAAUAUACAGAAAAUAUGAAAACUAAGGGCAGUCUAAUGGAUUAUAUGAAUAAAAUAUUACAUAGCACAAUCUGGAGCAAGUGCUUCAUGACAAAAUGAGUAAUAGUUGAUGGAAUUUAGAUCUCUGUAGAGAAGGAAUUGCAAUUUUUACUAGGCCUAUUUUUCUCCUUUCCCACUCUUGUUAGCUCAUUUAUAAAGUGAUGAAAAGAAAUCAUUGCAAGUGCUGCUAAAUGAUUGAAGAUGACUUCAGGGACACGUUGAGCUUGCUCUCUGCUGCAGAAUAAUAGACAAAUGCCAGAAGGAUCCCUGAGAGAGCAGUCAUGGAAGAGAGCCCGAAAUGGAAAGAAGCAGUGCUGUGUAGCUGUUUCUUCCAGUUUGAAACAUUCCUUUGGAGAAGGAAGAGGGAGGCUUAUAAGACUCAAGAAGAAACGUGAGGCCUUUACAGUAUCAGACGUUUAAGAAAGUUAUGACCCACCGGGCUUCUUCUCAAGAUUGUAGCCUUCAUCCAGUGACUGAUGGAAGCAGAGGAAGAU
rnacentral:lncRNA from 1 species